rnacentral:lncRNA from 1 species
CCAGUCUCUUACACUCAUAGAUUUCAAGUGUCUGCAAGGAUUGAAGGAUGGUUGGCAACCUUCCCAGCAAUAGAGGACAUUCUCUGAUUGAAAGAAAACGAAGGCUGGGGAAUUUCGAUACUUGCUCAUCAUCUUCACAUAGGUCCCACUCCUCCCAAUUCAGCAUAUUGUCAAAACGCAGAGACUCUAAUGAUGCAAAAGCAUUUGAUUGAUUUUCUCCAAACAACUCAGCACCAAUCUUGUGUACUUGAUCCAAACCACUAAUUGAAAGAUCUUUUAACAACAACAGCCUUCCAAUCGAUGGUAGAGAUUUGCAAUUUUUACAGUUGCGAAGCUCCAAUGACAACAUAUUUUUGAAGGAAGAAUCUGCAAUCCAAGUAGAGAAUUUUGCACCACCAUAAUUCUCAAUGACGAGAUGCUCAAGCUUUUUUGGAGGACAAAGAGUGUCCAACACCCUUUCUUCAACUUCUUUAUUCCUUGAAGCCUUUUCACUCCAAUGCAAUACCAAUCGAUGAAUCCCCUGCUUCUCAUAUAACUUGCUUUCCCCUGCAUCUUCACCAUUAACAUUCUCCAACCCAGAAAGACGGAAAUCACCUUCGAGGUUUGACAAAUAUUUCAAAUAUCUAAUAUGACAACCAUCACCUUCCGCUAUGAUAAAAUCAGAUAACCUUUGAAGAUUCGUUAGCUUAUCAAUUCUAAAAGGAAUCCUUUCUAUUGAGUUCGCACCUCUGAUAUCAAGAUAAUGCAAGUUGACAAGAUUUUCCAUCUUUGAAGGUAACCUUUGAAGCCUGUAACACCUUCUUAAUAAUAAAGUUUCCAAAUGGUAAAGAGUGCACAAAGAAUCAGGUAAACAUUUGAUAUGGGUGUUGGAAAAAUUUAAGUAGCGAAGAUGUUUUAAAUUUUCAAAAACAUCAGGCAACUCAGUUAUCCAAUACCCACUCAAAGAAAGCAUCCUUAAGUAGCCAAGUCUUGGUAACAAAUCAACCAAAACAACAUUAGUUAAAAAAGGCUCCCGAUCACCAAUAGACCAAGAAUCACUAGAAAACAUUAAAGGUAAAAAAGUACGUAAAGAAUUCACUUGAUCAAAUGCUUCAAACUUCUUCACUGUGUCAUAUGUUCCAGCAAUAUAAGAAGAAUGUCGAGUGCGAUUUGAGAACUUCCAUUUCUGAUCACCCUCUAAUUUUGAGCAUAUUUCCCCUGCAACUACUUGAGCUAAAUCAUUGAUAAGGUCAUGCAUUACGAAUCGGGACUUACCUUUACUGGAUGUCUGAAAAAAUGACCUUGACACUAGAUCUUGAAAAUAUUGAUUUCCGAGAUCUUUAAUUUGAGGCAUAGCUUUUUGUUGCAAGAGACCUUCUGCUCUCCAUAACAAGAUUAUUUCUUCUUCCCCAAAUUCAUAAUCUUUAGGAAGUAUGGAGCAAUAUGCAAAACAUCGUUUCAAGUAUGACGGAAGAUGAUGGUAGCUUAAUCGCAAAGCUGGAAUUAUGCCACACUGCUCUUCUGGUAAGUUCCAUAUCUCACUCUCAUAUAUUCUUUCCCAUCCUGCACAAUCUUUAACUGUGCGUAGCAAGCUUCCGAUGGCUUUUGCAGCCAAAGGUAAGCCACUGCACCUUCUAACAAUUUUCUCUCCAAUUUCUUUAAACUGGAGAUCUCUAUCGAAAUUUCUUGCUUUUAAUGCAUGCUGUGUAAAUAUGGAUAAACAAUCAUCAUCCGAUAGUUUAUCCAAAUGAAAAGCUUUGAGCGGAUCCACAAUAGAUGAAACAAUUUGAAGACGAGUGGUUACAAUGAUAUGGGUCCCUGUUCCAAACGGAGACCGUAAGAUGGUCCAAUCAUCAUAAUUCUCGUUCCAAAUGUCAUCUAAAACAAGCAAGAAUCUUUUCCCAGACAACUUCUCCUUCAACUUAACUUGAAGUAAAUUCAAGUCAUUCUCGUCACGAGAGUCAGGAUCGAUGGAUUUUAAAAUUGUCCUGGUUAUAUUAACUGCGUCAAAAUUAUCAGAGACGCAUACCCAGGCCUUGUGGUGAAAAGACUGGUUGAUGGUGGCAUCAUUGUAAACAAGCUGAGCAAGAGUUGUUUUACCCAUCCCUCCCAUGCCGACAAUGGAAAGGACUGAAACUCCGUUGGAGUUAUCACCUUUGAGAAACUCAAUCAUUUCUGUCUUCUCCUUGUGUCUGCCAACAUACUCCACAACUCCAUCCGGUACGGAAGUUGGUUGCAGCCUAGGUUGCUUUCCCUUGGAGGUUGGAGCUUGAGACAAGAUCUCACUCAACCCCAAACUACUUCUUCGAGUAGUCAAACUAUUCAGUCUAGCAGUGAUCUCUUUCACCUUUGGAAUCAUGGAAUUCUUAAACAGGAAAGAAGUGGGAGUGAAAUUACUACUGGUACAGCAGGUAGGAAUGAGUUUCCGUACCUUGCUAGUGCUGGCUUGAGCUUGCGAUUUCUUGAGCUUGAGACGUAACUCUUCAUAAGCGAACUCAUCCAAGAUGUCAUCCGCAUCGUAAGCCAAGUCCUGGAGAUCCUCCAACCAUUUCUUCACACCCAUGUUCUUGAUCUGCUUCUCCUCUGCAUCGUCCAACACUGCUUGGAUAUCAGGCAAUAUGGACUGCCACUGCUUGAGCUGCUGGUGGAGUUGGUUGUGAUUAGCAACAAAUUUGAGUGCAGAGUCGAGCGAUUUGCCCACCAACAGGUCCAGGAACCCAGAAAGAGCAGCCUCUCCAAUGACAGACAUGGUGGAAUUAUGAGAAAGAAGAUGAAGAGAGAAAUGAACAAAGCCAAAAUGGAAAGUCAGGGAACAAAAAAGAAAGAAAGGGAAAUGGAAUCUGCACAAUUAGAGAAAGUUGAAGAAAUUGGCACAAUAUCCUUGAAGCAUGUAAGAAUUCAGACAAUUUGGCAAUGAGUUGGAAGUCACUGAGUACAGAUAAAGAAGCAAACACCAGUACGGUAAAUUUUUUAAUCACAAAUAUUUACAGUAUUUAGCAUAUAUAGAUUUGUAAAUUCGUGGUCUAAUUCACUGAAUCAAAUCCCUACUGAAAUUCAAGACUGAUUGUAGUUAUAUUGUUAGUUCACUUACUAUUUUACUAUUUAUACUAUUAUUUUUAAGUUUUUAAUUAAGUUGGUAUUACGAGUUAAAGUUCAAACACGACUUGACCCGUUUUUAAGUUUAAAAUAUUUUAUAUUAUGUUAUGUUUUGCCCAAGUCCAUAUUUUAGGCGGACUAUCGAGCCGGGCCAGGCCACCCGGCCCAUGAGGAGGCAUUUGAUUAUGAUAAAGAAGAUGGACCCCAAGUAGUUGUUGCUGGGAAAAGACAAUGAAAGUGGAAAUUAAAGAGGUCCCAGUCCAUGAAAUUAUUGCACCCUCCCAAGUGGUUGUUGAUGGGAAAAGACAAUGAAAGUGGAAAUUAAAGAGGUCCGAGUCCAUGAAAUUAUUACACCCUCCCAUUUUUUCCGUCCCCGCAGUUAUAUGUAAAGCUUUUCUUUUAGGCAUAAUGAUCACUCCUAAUUUGCAUAAAAAAUAAUUUUAACCCUUAAAUUUAAUUUUUUAUCAAAUCAUUUCAAAAUAGAUUUGACAUAUAUAUGAAUUGUCAUUUAGAAAACACAUCAACAUCUAAUUAAUUUUAAAAUUUUAAAAAUUUAUUUUUUUAUAUUUUUUAACAAUAAAUUUUAAUUUUUAAAAAUAAUUUUUUAAAUUUUAAAAAAUUGAUUAAGUAAUAAUAUAAUAUCCACAUGUAUGUAACGUUAGUAAAGUUAAAAAAAAGUUGCAAAUUUAAGUGCUAAAAAAUAAAAAUCUAAAUAGAGAAUUAAAAUGAUUUUUUUAAGUUAAAAACUCGAAUAAAUUAUUAUGUCUUUCUUUUAUUUGAUCAAAAUAGGUUAAAGUGUCUGCAAUUCUAAAAUGAAUGAACUUACUAUUUGAUGCAUUAUUAUUUUUACUGGAGAUCGGGAAUAGAUGAACUUUCUAUGGGCCUAUUUAACUGAUAGGAUUUAUUACCACUUUAGUAACUUUGGCGAUUUAGUCAAUUACUCGAGAUUCAUGAUUAUUUUAUUUCUUGAUGCUAACAAUAUACCGUGGUCAAAUAGGAUCAUUUAUUCUUGAGAACUUUUACUUUUUUUAUCUUGUGGAAGUUUGAAUUAAUUCUCAUUUAUCUACUUCUAUCCAUGAGGGGGAAGAAACGUCUAUACUCAAUUACAAAAUUUAUUUUGUACUUUGCAGAGGGUUCUGUUUUUCUAUUAAUAGGAGUUUUGCAUCUCAAUUUAUACGGUUCUAAUGAACCAAUAUUAAAUUUUGAAAUAUUAGAUAAUCAAUCAUAUCCUGUUGCACUAGAAAUAAUAUUCUAUAUUGAAUUUCUUAUUACUUUUGCUGUCAAAUCGUUGAUUAUACUCUUACAUACAUGGUAUUAUAUAAAAAAAUUCAAUAAAUAAAAAAUAUAUAAAAUUAUUAAAUAUUAAAAUAAUAUAAUAUAAAUAUUUUUUUAAAAAAAUUAAAAAUAAUAUGGACGGGGCUAAAAUGGGUUUGGAUUAAUCUUUUAUAAAUAUAGACGGGUUUGAGCAACAUUUUAAGCCCAAAUUUUGGGCUAAAUCGAAUUUAGAUAAAUAUAAAAUAGAUUAAUAUCAUACUUAAACCCGACCAAUACAUCUAUAUCUUUACUACCGGGAUACCUUUGUUUUUGAAUUUUGUCAUAGCUUUUGUCCAUUGUCUUGAUUUCCAAGUAAAUGAACGUUGAGCUCCAUGCCAAUGGCAUCAAAAUAAUUAUUUCCAUUAAUAUCAAAAUAUAGUCCAACAUAAGAAGGGAGUACCAAAGAACAUAUUCUCCAGCUCAUAAACAUUUGAUAACAUCACUGUUGAAGCCUUUCAAAACAGGGGAAAUCCAUAUAAAGUGUGAUAGAAAGCCCACUGUGACACAUUUAGCUUUCAAGCUUCAGAUUCCCUGUCUUACAAAAAUGACCAAAUAAUAUAUUACAUUUACCAUAUUAUCUGUCUUACAAAAACCAACUAUCAGUGAAUCACCAUCUUUGCCCAUCUUUUAAAGGGUUUCAUACAUGUGGUCUGAGCAUGACAAAAUAAGGGAUGCUCUGAAAUUUUGAUGAUGCAUCCAUCCAUGAUCACAGCAGUUGUGUAAGAAAAUGACAAACAACAUACUUUCUUUUGAAUGCAAAAAACUUGAUUAUAUUGAUAUGAAGCAGUAACCAAAAUGGUUAAAUGAAGUUUUUCAGUCAGUCACUUAGACACUGAGUUCAUUAGUGUCGUUCAAUCCACAUGAUCGAAAAAGCAAUUCCUCAUCAAGUGAAUUAAUGCAGCUCGAAAGUAGCUUUCAAACGGAUGUAUCAUCUGAGAAUUUCCAAGAACUAGGAUGGCCAACUUUGAGAUCAGCAGACAAUAGUUUGUGGCAACACGGAGGCUGCAAGUUCAAAAGAAGUAUAAUCUCAAUGUCAUCAGUGUUUUACAAGUGAGAAAACCCCAAAUUGCAGGUCAGUGAACUCUCUUGUGUUAAUGCUUAAAUCUAGCUCUUUAACUACUUGCCGUACUGCGUAGUGUAUCCCUCCCUUAUCCUGAGAGGAUCAAUAAUAGACAGUGGUGACGACUCGUAUCCUUACACAAUAACAGGAAUCUAUCCACAAAGAUCGUGAAACUAUCAAGUAAAGACUUAUUCUUUUGAAAUACCAUUGGUCAAUAUUACAAUGGAAUGUCAAAUAUUUCAACUAAAAUCCCAUUCCCAUGUACAAAGGUUAUAACAAUUGCAAUUGAACACAUUGUCUUCAAAGAAGGAUCGACUAUACGGCAUAUUCCAAGUCAAUUCCAAAAUUAGUCUGUGCCAACCCAUAUUCUGAGAGAUAAGCAAACAUAUACACAAAGGAAGCUUAGAAAUCAGAACAUGCAGAUGAAAACUGAACAUUCAAUUUGCUGAACAUCAAAUCAAAUAAGCUAAAGGAAGGCUAGUUGAAUUCAUCAACCAUUUUUGCCAAUUUAAUUUUCAAUGCCUGAAAAAUUGAAUACAAAUUAUAUAAGACUGAUUGCUAUUAUCUUGUUAUUCUGAGGACAAUCACAUAUAUGGAACUAUGGAACUAAAAAUGUGUUUAAAAUGGUUUCACACCUGUGGUUUAAGUGUGGAGAAAUCAGUGCCAGGUUUUGCUGCUUUACUUUCAAUCUAAUUCCCUUGGGAUGCUGUUUUAUACUGAAAACGGACAUAAGGGAUGUGGGCAAUCUUGGACCACUGUCAACCUUUACCCCUACUGCACCCUUCUUCUAGCAACGGGCAAUUGAAAAUAUGUAGCUGCUCAAGUGAGAGAAGCAUAUAUUUUUCUGGAAGAGAUGUGAGUUUUGGACAAUUACUUAUUUCCAAUUCGUGAAGCGAAGUGAGGUGUUGAAAGCCCUUGGAGCACAUGAAUUCCAAAUUCUCAAAAUUUUCAAUGCAGAUAGAUGUGAGAGAAGGAGGCAGCAUUCUUCCUAUCCCUUCUUCUGGAAAUGACACCACACGUGAGCAUCCCUCACCGCCGAUAUUGAGCUCUUGAGUAGAGGUGAGUCUAUUUAAUCCCCAUUCAACAAGUGAUGUAUACAUUUUGGGUCCAUUUGAGAUUUCAAGUGAUGUGAGAUUCGUAGGGAAAUCCCCUACACUCUUAUGGGAAGGACAUAUCAGCUGAACACUAUAUAAAUACUUAAAUGAAAAGACAAAAAACAAACUCGUAAUAUUAUUUGUUAUCUUUUAAAUAAAAAUCUUUAUUUAAAAUUAUUUUUCAACUAAAUUGAUCUUUAGUUAAACUCGUGGCUUCAACUCAGUUAGAUAACUAUAUAUAGUAUAACUAACAAACAAUAGAAUUGAAAUUGGCAUACAUAUAUGCUGUGUGUAGCCUUAAAUACUCCUCUUUCAUGGUGUUCACCUCAAUUCCUUGCAACUUCUGUUUUUUUAAUUCCAAAAAAAAAAAAACACACACACACAAUAUUAGAAACGUAAUUAUUAUUGUCGAUCGAAUCUUAAUUCAAUUGGCAUUGAUAUUAUUAUCCAUGCAAAGAGGACAUCAAUAUAUAUAUAUACACCUCAGCUUGUUGCUCAUAAAAAGGGUGUUCUUGAGAAUGGUCUUCUUCCAUUCCUUUGUUGUAUCUUGAAAGAGUGUUCCAUGCUACAUUAAUAAAAUGUCAUGUUUAAAAAAAUAACAAUAAAUUAAAAAUAAAAUUCUAACUCAUUAUCAGGGUUUAGGUUUUGGUCUUGAGCCGAUCAAAUUUAUGACAAGUUAUUCUUAACGUAUCGUAACUAUUUAUGUAUCAUUUUUGUUUUGAUAUGAGUAUGUGUUGUUGUGUUUUAGUAUAUAGUUUCGUAUUUAUCAUUUUUAAAAAUAAUAUAUAUGAUAUACUUCCAAAUAUUUCUUAAUUAUAAUAUGUAAAUAUAAAUUUUAAAAUUAUUAAUUAAGUUCAAUAAUUUAAUGAAUGGUUAUAUAUUAUUUUUAAAAGCAAUUAUAUAAAAAAGUCGUUAAGAAAGAAAUGGGAAAUAUUAAAAAUCCCUUUAUAGGAAUUAAUACUCAGCGAUACAAGCAUAUAUUAAUUGAAAUGAGUCAAAAACUCAAUGAAAUUUUAAUUGAAAUGAAACUUAAACUAUUUUAUUCUAGUUCAAUAUCGAGACGAUUCAUAACGAUUGAUACAACCAGUAUCGAAACUACCGAUCCCAUACUACAAAGUGAAAAGAAAAAUAAUGGAAAUCAAUCAAAUUACAACUCAACUUACUUUUAUGCUUAGAAAAAAAAAUAGUUCUAAAAAAUAAUCAUCCAAGAAUAUAAAUAUAUAUAAGUUUUAUAGACCGUUACAAACUAAUAUACACUCAUAUAAGCAGAUAUUAACUAAAACAAAUCAAAACACAAUAAAAUUUUAACUGUAACAAAACUUAAACUACUUUAUAUUAAUUCAAUAUUGAGACUAUAGCCAAUUAUUAAGAAAAGAAAAAUAAUGGAAAUCAAUCAAAUUAUAGGUCAACUUACUUUCAUGCUUACAAAAAAAUAAAGCUAAAAUUGAAAAUUGAAAAAAACCCAGAUUUCGAUUAUUAAAAAUCAUCUAUAAUAUAUAUAUAUAAGUACUAUACUAUAUUAUAUACCUAGUGCUGGACCAUUGAUAGACCUUGCCGGUGCUUGAAAAAAUAAUAACCCCAACCUCUGCAUCACAUAAAAUGGACAAUUCUUUAGCUUUCUUCAACAACCCAUUUCGCCUCUUUGAAAACAUUACUUGCCUGCUAUUCAAAUUUUCAAUCUUUUUUAUUUCAAUUUUCCCUCUACCCAUCUGAAAAUUUUCUUCUUUCCUUUACUUUUUCCCGGAAAAUUUUUAAAAGAUAAGAUAAACCCCAGAUUUUUUUUUUCUUAAAUUUUGAAAAGAACCAAAGGUUUUUAUAACAACAAACAGAUCAAAGAAAAUAAGGCAAAAAAUUUAGGGGAUUCUAAAAGGAUUCUUUUUUUAAGAGAAAAGAAAAUAAGUAAGUAAUGUUUAUAUAUAAUAAUUGUUUUCUCAAAUGGAAAUGGAAAAUGAUAUGGAAAAAGAAAAUAUGUGACCAAAAUUAGGGUCGAAAUCUUGAAAGGUGACAGAUUUGAUACUAUAUCUACCAAUUAUCCAACUAUGGAAACUCUAUUUAUUAUAGGUUUAGUUUAUUUUUUUCUAUUUUUCUUAAUUUCUCUACCUUUUUACUCUGCUGUUUUUGGCAUUUCAAUUCAAAAUGGAUUUUAUUUUUGCUUUGGGUUUCUUUUUUUUAAAUAUAAAAAGUGGUUUUUAAUUAUUUAUAUGUUUUUAAUGUGUUUUAACAAUUUUUGUUAGUGAAUAUUGAUUUUUUUUUUUGUGAAUUACAAUAUGAGGGCAAAGCCCUAACAACAACACGGCUAGAGCGAUUCGAAUUUAGGCCACACCUGAGACGUUGAACACAAGUAUUUCAUGAGGACAUAUAACACAUGUUUUUUAAAUUCAUGGCUAAAAUAAUAAAAAAACCUCUUUAUUUUAUUGUAUUAAAAUAAUAAUAAAAAACCAUGGUUUUAGUCGUACUGGCCGGUGCCGCCGUUCUACUAUUAUAGCGCAACAAGCAUCACCCUUUUCCAUACUAAUGAAAAUUUUGGUUUGUGCCAUUCGCAUUGGCCAGAACAUGGUACACCUACUGCAUGAAUAAUGUUAAAAAAUAUAAAACUUUUAACUAUUUUCUAUUAGACUAAAUAUUUAAUUGAAAUGUAUUGACCAAUAAAAAAAUAUUACACUAGAAAGUAAAGUUUAACAUUUAAAAAUUUUUUUGGAGCAUACUUUUUCAUUUAAAAUAUAAAAAUUAAAAUUAAUAAAAAAAAACUCACUCACCUCGUUAUUAUAGAAAAAUAUUCACUCGCCCUUCAGCUUUUUUUAUUGAAAAAACCCCCUCAUCCUUCGAUUUAAAUUUUUCUUCUUAAUUUUGAAUUUAUUGAAUGAUGAUUUUUUACUUGUGGAGUUUAUUAAACAAUAUUUUAUAUAAUUGAUGAAUAGUUUUAUAUUAAAAAUUUAUUUAUAAUAAUUUAUUUGAUAUUUGUAUAUUUAUUUAUAUAAAUAUAUUAAAUAUUUUAAAAAAUAUCUAUAAAUUCAAAGUGGUACAUAAAAUAGACUAGUACAUAAAAGUGGUACUUACACCAAUGUGGUAAUGGCUACCUUGAAAGCAAGUACGUGGGUGGCUAUAAUGUUUGAUGCUUUGUUUUUUUUUUUGAAUAUUUUGCUUUGAUGCUUUUGAUCUGUGUUGAUCUUUGAGUGUAACCAUUAGGAUAUAUAUGGUUAUCUGAAUUUUUAUGAUUUGCUAUGCAUUGAUUGUGAUUUUUUUAUUAAUAAAUAUAUGUUUUGGAAUGAGAAAAAAAAUAAGAAAUUCGAAACACAAAAAGGAAAGUAGAGAAAGUGAACACAAUAUAUAUAGAUGGUUCGGAAAUAUUUCCUACAUCCACAGGCAGAACCAAAGACGAAAUUCAUUACUAAAAAUUAGAGAUUACAGAGGAAUUACAUCGUAAAAUAAAAUACCUCGCCAAUAACUAUCCACAAACUUUGAAUGGAUUCAUGGUCUCAGAAAUUCGGAGAACUAAGAUGGACAUCUUUGAGAUUGGACAGAACAAUAUUUUGGGAACUCUGUUGUCUUACAUGUGUUAAAUUGAGCUCUCUAAUGUCAUGUUGUAACGUGUAAUGUAUCCCUCCAUUAAUCCUGGAAGGAUCAAACUAUCACGUAAAAGACUUGUUCUUCUGAAAAACCAUUGGUUAAUAGGACUAUGAAAUGUCAAAUAUUUUUAACUAAAACCCCAUUCUCAUAUACCAAAAUAGCUUAGAAAUUAGAAGAUGCAAAUGAAAACAGAACAUUCAAUUUGCUGAAUAAAUGUUGCAGAGAAUUGACUAACCGAUUUACUAAAUCAAAUAAGCUGAAGCAGAUGAGUUGAAGUUCACUAUUUUUUGCCAAUUUAGCCUUCAAUGCCUGCAAAAAUUGAAUACAAAAUAUAUAAGACUCAUUUCUGUUAUCAUGUUGUUCAUGAGGACAAUCAGAUAUGUAAAAAAUUUUUUGAAGUUGGUCAGCAUGCAGCAACCUCAACCAGCAAGCAGGCCAUGCAGACCAAGCCGUGCAGGAGCUGCUGGAACAAGUUAUUUUUUGUUUAUUUUGUAACCAUUAGUUGAUGAAAUGAGUUCUAGUUCAUUUCAAACUAAGUUAGGCCUAUGAUUGAUGUAAUUAGCUAGUGAGUGAGCUGUAAACACAACCUUGUACAAGCUUACAAGUUUAGUUUUUCAAGUUUCCAUGUAAUUAGUGGUGGUAGAUAAUGUUUAGGUGAUUGCUUACUGUUUUUGACAAGCUUAGUGCUUGAUUUAUGUAUUGGCAUUAUGCCAUUGUUUAUGUUUUGAAUGAAAUCAGUGUUUUGUUCAUCAAUUUUCUUUGUUUUUCUUCCUUAUUUUCUGCUUUGAUUCUGGUAGUUUGUUAAGCAAGCAACGAGGCUUGCUGCUCAAGACAUAGGCUGAGCUUGUCUGUUUCUGUUACUAAAACCAACAAUUGGUAUCUAGAGCCUUAAUCUUAAGGGACUUGGUAUACAAACCUAUAGCCUCAUCAAGCUUUUCACUAGCUGCACCACAAGUCUUCAAUGGGGAAGGCUACCACAUAUGGGUGGUCAAAAUGAAGACCUACCUGCGGGCCUUUGAUCUGUGGGAGGUGGUCAACUCUGAUGUUGAACCAGAACCACUCAAAGUCAAUCCAACAGUGGCUCAAAUCAGGCAGCAUGCUGAUGAGAGGAAUAAAAGGCACAAGGCCAUGUAUUGCAUCCAGAACUCAGUGUCAGAUGUGAUUUUCACAAGGAUUAUGGCCUGUGAAUCACCAAUGCAGGCCUGAGACAAGUUGCAAGAGGAGUUUCAAGGGACAGAGAGGACAAGGCAGCAACAACUGUUGAACUUGAGGAGAGACUUCGAGAAUUUGAAGAUGAAGGAAGAAGAAACUGUCAAGUAGUACUCUGAUAGGAUCAUGGUUGUGGUAAACAGUAUAAGGCUCCUUGGUGAGCAGUUCAUUGAAGCAAGGAUAGUGGAGAAGGUGAUUUCAACCUUGCCAGAGAGGUAUGAGGCAAAGAUCUCAUCCCUUGAAGACUCAAGGGACCUGAUUAGCAUUCCUCUUACAGAGCUAAUCAAUGCUCUAUAUGCACAAGAGCAGAGAAGAGCUAGCAGACUGGACAAGCACUAAGAAGGUGCCUUUCAGGCAAAGACCAACACUGCCUACAAAGGCAAGAAAACCUGGAAAAACAGGCCUAAGCCUGAUGCUGCAAAAUGCAGUGAUCAACCUUACAGAUAUUGCAAAAGGAUUGGUCAUCCAGAAGAAAAAUGUUGGUUCAAACCAGAUGCCUUGUGUCAACGCUGCAAAAGGAGGGGACAUGUUGAGAGAGUCUACAAGAACAAAGGCAAACCAAGACAGAAUCAACCUCAACAGGUGAAGGCAGAGGCUCAAGUAGCUAAGGAAGACAGUGACCAAGAGGAACAAGUCUUUGUUGUGUCAUGCUCAGCUCCUCAAGACAGGUUUUCAUCUGGUUGGCUCCUUGAUAGUGGAUGCACCAACCACAAGCAAGCAUCCUUCACCGCUGAUGUUGAGUUCUUGAAGAGAUGUGAGUCUGUUAAAUCCCCAAUCAACAAGUGAUGUAUAAAUUUUGGGUGCGUUUGAGAUUGCAAGUGAUGUGAGGUUGGUAGGGAAACCCUCUUCUGGAAAGGAUAUGUCAGCCGAACACUCCCACACUGAUAAUUCUCGAACGAAGGUGAAGUUGUUGAUGCACUUGGGAAGGGCUUUAAAAUUUUCACAAGCCUCAACUGAGAGAACUCUGAGAUUUGUGGUGGGCAACCCACUUUCUUCAAAUGAAACCAGAUUUGGACACCUAGAUAAUUUAAUAUCCUGAAGAUGGCAGAGCUUGUCUAAUCCCCACGGUAAUGAUUUAAUUUUUUCAGCACCACGAAUGCCAAUGCUUUCGAGAUCAAUGGUUUCAAGGAAGUCUUGGGCUAUGCAUUCCAACAAUAGACAAUUCCAAAUAAAUAGCUGUUUAAGCAUUACAGGUAACUUGGCGUUUAAAAAUAACCUACUUAGCUUUGAACAACUUUUAAUUUCGAGAUGUUGAAGUCAAGUGCAUAUAUCGCUCCUUGAUGAUAGCCAUAUUAGAGAUGGACAGUUGCUUAUUUCCAAGUGCUCAAGAAGACAAGUGUUGCUACACAUACGCUUAUUAUUAUUUUCUUUUUCAUCAACCAAAUAUUGCAAAUUCACGCAAUACUCAAUCCACAACUCUUUUAAAGCAGGAGGAAAGUUACUGUCUGCAAAACAAACCAAGCCUCGACAGUUUUGAAGUUGUAUUCUUGUAAUUAAUGGGAAGGCAUGUAAGGCUUCUAGUAGUCUAUUGAGCCUUUCACAAUCUCUUAUAAACAGAGAUUCAACACCUGGAAUCUUGUCAAGUUGCAAUCUCUCCUCCUCUGUUUCCAAGGAGACCAAUUGGGGACAACUGACAAUCUCAAUGAAUCGGUGCCCGACUAAUCUUAACCCAAUUUGCGAUAAAGAUCCCAACUCCUUCCAACCAGAGAUGCAGAACGUUUCGAAGUUCGCAAAUCUCAACAUUAUCCUCUCUGCUGAAAUAUUAAAAUUUGAAAUAUUUGAAACAAACACAUCUUUCAAGGAGGUAACCUUCUGUACAGACAAAGGACCUUCAUCCACCAAUUCUUCACACCCUUCAACCCAUAUUUUACGCAGCAAGGGAAAACAAGAAAUUGAAACUACCAGUCUCUUACACUCAUAGAUUUCAAGUGUCUGCAAGGAUUGAAUGAUGGUUGGUAACCUUCCCAACAAUAGAGGACAUCUUUUAAUUGAAAGCUUACGAAGGCUGGGAAAUCUCGAAACUUGCUGAUCGUCUUCACAUAGGUUCCACUUCUCCCAAUUCAGCAUAUUGUCAAAACACAGAGACUCUAAUGAUGCAAAAGCAUUUGAUUGAUUUUCUCCAAACAACUCAGCACCAAUCUUGUGUACUUGAUCCAAACCACUAAUUGAAAGAUCUUUUAACCACAACAACCUUCCAAUCGAUGGUAGAGAUUUGCAAUUUUUACAAUUGCGAAGCUCCAAUGACAACAUAUUUUUGAAGGAAGAAUCUGCAAUCCAAGUAGAGGAUUUCGCACCACCAUAAUUCUCAAUAAAGAGUUGCUCAAGCUGUUUUGGAGGACGAAGAGUGUCCAACACCCAUUCUUCAACUUCUUUAUUCCUUGAAGCCUUUUCUAAUUUUUCACUCCAAUGCAAUACCAAUCGACGAAUCCCCCGCUUCUCAUUUAACUUGGCUUCCCCUGCAUCUUCACCAUUAACAUUCUCCAACCCAGAAAGACGGAAAUCACCUUUGAGGUUUGACAAAUAUUUCAAACCUCUAAUAUAACAACCAUCACCUUCCCCUAUUAUAAAAUGGGUUAGGCUUAGCCAUUUUAAUUUUGGAGUCCAAGCAUGGCUUAUUUUAAACAAGCUUAUUUUUUUUUGUCUAAACUUAUAUUUCAAGCCUCAUUCUUUUUAUCUAAACUUUUUUAUAUUUUAAGUUCAUUUAGAACGAGUCUAUCUACAAAAGAAAAGUUUGUGAAAAGCGCAUAAUUAAUAAUUAGAAAUUGUCACACAUGUAAAAAUAUAAUAUAUUAUAUAUAAAUUUAAAUUUUAAAAAUACUAUUUCAUAUAUAAAUUUUAUAUUUUUGAGAAAUAAUAAUAUUUUAAAAAAGAUGGAUAGAUUUUUUUCUAAUAAUUAGAAAUUAGUGAAUAAUAAUGAGUAGUUUAGUUUUUGAGAAAAAAAAAGAAAUAGUUUUAAUUGAGAAAAUGAUUUUUUAAGAAGUUAGUUAAGAGUAGUGAAAUAAUUUAUUUUAUUUUAUAAAAAUGUUGAAAUGAUAUAAUCAUCCCUAUAUUUAAUAAAAUAAUAACAUUAGAUUUUUUAUACUUUUACCAAUUGAGUUUGUGUCACUCGAUUUGAUGUACCAAAUUUAAUUAGACAUUUUGUCGUAGUAUAAAUAAUUAUCUUGUAAUUAUAUGUAUUCAAACUAACUUCAUUUUUAAAUCUGUCACCAAUCUUUAUAUUUUUUCUCUCUUAUAAUUUUAUUUUUACAUAAUGUUUUCAUAAUAUAUAAUAUGAUCAUAAAUUAAACCCUUAAUUAUAGUUAUUAAGCUUGCAUUUUUUUCACUAAAGUCAAGAAAUUAAUUUGGUAACACCUAAUCGCAUUGAAGAAUGAAUCAUAAAUAUAAUGUGGUAAGUGAGAAGGUUAAUUUGGAAAUUAAAUAAUUAGCUCAAAAACUUAUUUCAUCAAUUAUUUAAGUAAAUCAUGUCUCAUUUGUUAAAAAUUCUGGUUCACAGUACAAAUGACAAUAUGAUUAUUUUAAUAUAUUGAAACACUCACUUAAAAUUAUAACUUAAAUCUUUGAAAUAUGUGGGAGAUUAUUGGAAGUUUUUAUGUAUUUCAAAGAACUACAAAAAUCUCACAUUGCUAAAAAAAGAUAUUGAGUCAUUAUUUAUAAGCCAGAACUACAAAAAUCUCACAUUGCUAAAAAAAGAUAUUGAGUCAUUAUUUAUAAGUCAUUAUACUUCUUUGAACUUAAUAAGAACCAAAUUGAGAGAGUAGACUCCUGCACAUUCGAGCCUUUUUGUUUUUGGACUUAUUUUUAUUAAAGUUUUGAAAGUCAAAUAAAAGUGAACUUGUAACACUUCUAUUUAGUCACGCUAAAUAUAAUUUAAUUGAUUGAAGCUAUUUUUAAUUAAGUCCAAAUUCAUUGAACCAUUUUCAAACUAGUGUUAGCUAAUUCAAUCAACUUACCUUUGCUAUAUUAAGCAAAUGAAAUCCCUAUAAAUACCAUGCAUGGUAGUUUUCAAAGUUACUCAUUAGCUUUCAUGUUCUCAUCUAAAUUUCUUCUAUAUUCUCUUUAGAAAAACCUUCCUCCUACAAUCUCAAUUGAGUGUUUAAUUGGUCGGCUCUUUAGAAAAGCCUUCAAGGAUAAUGAUAUUCACGCCUCAAGUCGUGAUUCUAAUUUUCUAAACCUCCGAUUUCUUAAGAGAACGUCAAGGGCAACAACCAGUCAAAUUUUAAGUUCAAUUAAAUGAAUUCACAAACUUAUAGAGUUUAUUAUUAUUAUUUUAAUUAGUAUCAAAAGUUUUCAAUUCAAAUUUUAAUUUUGUUAUUCAAGCUUUUAUCUCAAAUCAAGCUCAAGCUUUAAAAGUGAAAUUUGAUUGAACUUGAGCUAAAUUUUGAGUAUCGAAUUUUAAGUUAGCUCAAAAUUUUCAAGUUAAGCUUUGACUUGAUUACACGGUUAGUGUAAAUCGUACAAAUGUAAAGUAUAAUAUAAUUAUAUAAAUUUUGAUACUAUAAUAAUUUCAAUUUUAAAAUGUUAACACAACUAUGGUCUAAAAUGUCCCAUUAUCAAGAAGCUUAGAAAUUAGAAGAUGCAGAUGAAAACAGAGCAUUCAAUUUGCUGAAUAAAUGUUGCAGAGAAUUAAGCUAUAGCAAAUCAGUUGAAAAUAGCUUUCAGUGCCUGCAAAAUUAAAUGCAAAGUAUAUACGAUUGAUUGCUAUUAUCAUCUUGUUCCUGAGGACAGUCAGAUACAUGGAACUAAAACAGCCAAUGUUUAAAACGGUUUCAUACCAGUGAUACAACAUAAGGUAUGUGGGAAAUCUUGGACCACUCUCGUCCUUUACCCCGAAAAGUGGACAUAAUUAAAAAGGAAAACUUGUCUGUGAUAGAAAAUGAGGGGCUUUAAUUAAAUUACAACCAACCAGGAUGAACUCUGUUUCUGUAUUGAAAUAUUGGAAUUGGUAAUCAGCGACUUAUUCACUAAGAACUAACUAUUCUGUCACCUUAUAUUCUUCCUAUAAUUUCAGGUUUAAUCCUUUUGAUUUAUACAUUCAGUCCACUGCAAUAUGAACCCGUGAAAACCACACUAAACGAAACUGACUGUUUAAGGAUCCCAUUCAUAUGAUGCAGCACUGCAAUGGGUAAUUAAACUGACUGUUUAAUCCUGUUUCUGUACACUAUGCUUCUUCAAAAUCAUGCCUAGCCGAACUCUCUGACAUUGUGGACCGCAAGCGCACUCAAGGACAUAUUGUUUCUGCCAUCUUUUACCAUGUUGAUCCCCCUGAGGUUCAGCAUCUUAGUGGGAGUAUCAAGUCAUACUUUGAUGACCAUGAAUCAAAGAGGCCUGUUGAUGGAGUGAAGCGAUGGAAAAUUGCCUUUGUUGAAGUCUGUAAAUUAAUUGGGUGGCAUAUAGGAGGAAAAUUCGACAAGCAACUAUAUGGUUUCUUUUUCAUUUUCUUAUAUAUUUAACUUUCUUUUAUUUGGUUUAUUUGCUAGGCUUGAAUUCAAGUACAUUAAAGAUAUUGGUGAAUAUGUUAUAAAAAGAAGAUGACAAAUAGCGAGUCUAAAAGUGCUUCUUAAGAAUUUGUUGGAACAGAUAAUCAAUGAAGGAUGAUUUUGAGGCCAACUGAGGAAGAAGACAAUCCUAUAUUAGGAUGAUUUUGAGGCUGAUUGAUGAAGACGAAAUUUGUUUGUGAGUUUUGUGUUUUGUCUUUGGGUUUGUGCUUGUUAAUUGUUGAAUGGUUUCUCGCUCAAUAAGCUUGUAGGCGAUCCAACUUGAAAAUUAGGAUUAACAGUGUGUGGUGCACAAAUUAUUGGGUGAUGGUGUCUUGCUUGUUGAUGCUUGAAAGUUGAAAGAAUCUUAUAUGCUUAUGUUAAACUGGAUGCAUUUUUAAGAUUAGGGUAGGAUGUGAUUUUUAUGUGACUAAUCUAUUUUAAAGGUAAACUAACCGUUAGUUACUCUAAAUAAUGGUUGUUUUUAUUUUCUCACCCUAAGGCUUUUUUUUUUUUUUUAAAUUUGGUCUCUCUAAAAGGAAAUUGAUUAAAUUGAUCACCCCAUCAUUAAAUGGUAAAGGAAAGACUAAUAAUACAUUUCAUGUAUUGUUUUAGGUGACUAAAAUAAGAAAAAAAAAUCUCUAUUUAAAGUGACUAACAGGUAGUUUACCCUAUUUUUAAAGUGACUAUAAUUUUUUAUGAUUUUUAUAAAAUUUUACAAUUUCUUAUAUUUUUUCUAGUUUUUAAUAAUUUUUUAAUAUUUGAAUUUUUUAUUAAAAUUUAAUAAUAUUUAUAAGUUUUAUUAAUUUUAUUUUUUUCUAAUUAUUAAUAAAAACAAGGGCUUAAUUGUUUUUCUUGAAAAAGUUUGAGGGUGUAAAUUUUGAAAGUUCAAGUAUCCAAUUGAGUAUAAAAAAAAAGUAAGGGCUUAAUUGUUUUUUUAAAGGUUUAAAGGCCCUUUUGAUGCAUUUUGAAAGUUCAAGUGCUCAAUUGAGUACAAAAAUAAUAAGUAAAGAAUAGAGAUUAUAAUGAACUCAUAUCGUAAAAUAAAAUACCUCAACAUGAUAACUAUCCACAAACUUCGAGCAAGGUUGUAAAUGCAUCAACUAUAUACUUUCCACAUUUCGGAAAAGACCCAACCAUAAUAAAUAACAUAUGAGCAACAUUUUCUCAAUCUCAAAAUGUAAAAAGCAAUACUGUAAUUGUUGCGCGGAAGCGUGUGAAAGAGUAAAAUUAUUGUACUGAAAAAUCACACUAAGUUCAAUUCCCAGGAAAGAGAGGUGGAUCACGAGGAUCGCUUACAUACCAGAUCUUUCCUAGCCAGAAUAUCCCUCUAUCGUAAUUUAAUAGCACAAUAAAUCACUACAAUGACACUUGCAAAAUAUGCAGAACAAAAAUAAAGAACACUAGAAUUUUAACGAGGUUCAGCAAAUUUUGCCUACGUCCUCGGGCACUACCAAAUAUAUUUCACUCCAAAAAAUACAAGUGAAAGUUUACAAAUAGGGAGAGAGAACAAUUGCCUUAAGUAGAGAAUGGCAAGUGUGGGAUGAAGAAAGUAAGAAAUGGUUAGGCCUAUUUAUAGUUGAGGUUCAAGGAUCAACUUGCAAUGUCCCUAUACAAUUAGGGACCAAAAUUGCAAUUAUCCCAUGCCAACUUUUAACCCAACUUGCCAACCAAUUUUACUUUCUACUUUCGGUGCCCACCCUUUUUGACUUUUCAAACAAUGGGUGGGUUCCAAUAAUCUCCACCUUGAAGAUUUGAUUAGGAUAAUCUUAUCUUCACACAAUUCUUUCUGCCUUUGACAACAAUACUUGAUAGUGCCUUCUUCAACUGUUAAACUUGCAGGAUAUUAAUCAAGUUCAAACAAUGUUCGAACUUGGUUGCUGUUACCACCUUGGUCAUCAUAUCUGCGGGAUUAUUUGCAGUCUUGAUCUUCUGAAGACAAAUUUUCCCCUCUUCAAUAAUUUCCCGCACAAAAUGGAAUCGUACGUCGAUAUGUUUUGUACGUGCAUGAUAGACUUGAUUCUUUGCUAAAUGAAUAGCACUUUGACUAUCACAAUACACGUUAAUAUGCUCCUGAACCAACCCCAAGGUUUUAGCCAUACCUUGUAACCAAAUAGCCUCCUUUACAGCCUCUGUUACAGCCAUGUACUCGGCUUCUGUGGUUGACAAUGCAACUGUAGACUGUAGUGUAGACUUCCAACUUAUUGGUCCUCCAGCAAGUGUAAACACAUAACCGGUGGUUGAUCUUCGCUUGUCCAAAUCACCGGCAUAGUCAGAAUCAACGUACCCAAUAACACCUUUACCAAGUGUAUUAUCCUGCUUGAACAGUAAUCCAACAUCCACGGUCUUCUGAAUAUACCGUAGAAUCCAUUUCACAGCUUGCCAAUGUCCUUUUCCAGGAUUAUGCAUAUACCUGCUCACUAUACUAACUGCCUGUGAAAUGUCGGGUCUUGUACACACCAUUGCAUACAUCAAGCUACCCACUGCAUUAGAAUACGGAACUUGCAACAUGUAUUCUCGUUCCGUAUUCGUCGAAGGAGAUAGUUGUGCAGAAAGCUUGAAAUGAGAAGCCAACGGGAUACUUACAGGUUUGGUCUGCUCGUUCAUGCCAAACUGCUGUAGUACUUUCUUCAAAUACUGCUUCUGAGACAAGCUAACUCUGCCAUGAGCUCUAUCUCUACAUAUUUCCAUGCCAAGAAUCUUCUUAGCUUCACCUAGAUCUUUCAUCUCAAACUCGAGAUUGAGUUGAGUCUUCAAUCUCUCAAUCUCAACUUUGCUCUUAGAUGCUAUCAGCAUAUCAUCAACAUAUAAGAGCAAGUAUAUGAAAGUUCCUUCUUGUAGCUUCUGAAAAUAUACGCAAUGAUCAUAUUUACUUCUUGUGUACCUUUGCCCUUUCAUGAACUGAUCAAAUCGCUUGUACCACUGCCUCGGAGAUUGUUUCAAUCCAUAAAGUGACUUUGUCAGUUUGCAAACCCAAUUUUCUUUAUCAGCAACAUUGAAUCCAUCAGGCUGAGUCAUAUAGAUUUCCUCUUCCAAAUCACCGUGUAAAAAUGCUGUCUUCACAUCAAGUUGAACUAGUUCAAGAUCGUAUUGCGCAACCAAGGCUAGCAAAAUUCGAAUAGACGAAUGCUUCACAACUGGAGAAAACACUUCAUUGUAGUCUAUUCCUUCUUUCUGAGCGUAACCCUUUGCUACCAAUCUAGCCUUGUAUCGAAUUUCAUUUUUACCAGGAAAUCUUUCCUUCUUUGCAUAUACCCAUUUGCAUCCAAUUGCCUUCUUUCCCUUGGGCAGUCUCACCAACUCCCAAGUCCUAUUUUUAUGAAGAGACUGCAUUUCUUCAUUCAUAGCUUGCUUCCACUUUACACCAUCAGAGUUACUUAUUGCUUCUGUGUAAGUGGAAGGAACAUCAUCAUCUGCAAUUGGAAGUGCAUAGGCCACCAUAUCGUCAAAGCGAGCAGGCUUACGAAUCUCUCUUCUUGGCCUCCUAUAUGCAAUUGAAUCUUGUUGCUGUAGAAGUUCUUGGGUCGAAACUUCUUCAUCAUUUGUUCUUUCAAUAUUAGCUGGAUCAUCAUUAACCUUUUCAAACUCCACCUGCUGCAAAGUACUACUGGUUUUGUCAUCCUUUUGUGAAUCCUCGUUUUUCAUCAUGGUUGAUUCAUCAAAAGUUACAUCUCUACUGAAAACAAUCUUCCUUGUAUCAGGACACCAGAGACGGUAUCCUUUUACACCACCAGUUAUACCCAUGAAUAAUGCUUUCUUUGCUCUUGGGUCUAACUUAGAUUCUUUUACAUGAUAAUAUGCAGUGGAACCAAAAACAUGUAAAGAAUCAUAAUCAGUAGCAGGUUUACCAGUCCACAUCUCCAUAGGAGUUUUUCCAUUUAUUGCAGCUGAUGGCAAUCGGUUAAUUAGAUGGCACGCAUAUGUAACUGCCUCAGCCCAAAAUUCCUUGCCCAAUCCAGCAUUGGACAACAUACAUCGAACUUUCUCCAGUAUAGUCCGAUUCAUGCGUUCUGCCACCCCAUUCUGCUGUGGUGUAUCUCGAACAGUGAAGUGUCGCACAAUGCCCUCAUCUUGACAUACUUGUAGAAAUGGAUCAUUUUUAUACUCAGUACCAUUAUCUGAUCGAAGUCGUUUGACCUUUCGACCUGUCUGAGUCUCCAUCAUCUUCUUCCACUUCAGAAAUGUAUCCAAAACUUCAUUUUUUCUUUUCAUUAGAUACACCCAUACUUUUCUUGAAUAAUCAUCAAGAAAAGUGACAAAAUAGUGCAUACCUCCCAAAGAAGCUACUUUGGUAGGUCCCCACACAUCACUGUGAACAUAGUCCAGAAUUCCUUUCGUAUUGUGAAUUGCUGAACCAAAUUUUACCCUCGUCUGCUUGCCCAGAACACAAUGUUCACAGAAUUCCAAUUUGCAAGAAUUUGCACCUUUCAACAAGCCUUGCUUCGCCAAAGUCUGCAAAGCUUUUUCACCAGCAUGUCCCAAUCGCCUAUGCCAUAACCUGGUAGCCUCUGAAUCUGCAUCUUUCGCAGAAACUGUUGAUGUUGAUCCAAUAACUGUACUUCCAUUUAAAUAGUACAAGUUAUUUCUUCUAGUGCCUUUCAUCACCGUCAAUACCCCAGCUACUACCUUUAGUAAUCCAUCUCUCAAAGUGAUUGUGAGCCCUUUAGAUUCUAGGGCCCCUAACGAGAUGAGAUUUUUCUUCAAGCUGGGUACAUAGCGAACAUCUGUCAGAACUUGGAUUGAGCCGUCAUGGUUCUUCAAUUUGAUUGUACCUACACCCAUUGUUUUACAGGCACUAUCAUUGCCCAUAAAAACAACUCCACCUUCUAGUUCUUCAAGACUAGAAAACCAGUCCUUAUUAGGACACAUAUGGUAAGUACAUCCCGAAUCCAAUAUCCACUCAUCCGUUUGACAUGCCAUUGCCAUGCCAACCAAGCUAAAGUCUGACUCCUCAUCAUGCUCCGCUACACAUGCAUUAGAAAUAGACUUGCCCUUUUGUAACUUAGGACAAUUCUUUUUCCAAUGCCCUUUCUCACGACAAAAGGCACAUUCAUCUUUGGCGGGUCUCCCUUUGGACUUACCCCUUCUACCAGGUUUGCUGCUGUGUGAACGACCUCUUACUGUUAAGACUUCUGCAGUUGUAUCUCUGUGAUCUCUUUUAUCUUUCUUUCGAGUCUCAGAUCUAUACAACGCACUACAGACUGCAUCAAAUGUGAUUGAAUCUUUCCCAUGAAGCAAUGUGGUGGUAAGAUGAUCAUAUUCAUCAGGAAGGGAAUUCAACAACAAUAAUGCCUUGUCUUCAUCUUCAAAUUUCUCAUCCAAAUUUAGCAAGUCUGCUAAAAUUUUAUUGAAUGAGUUCACAUGGUCAUUCAUCGACAUACCGGGUGCAUACGUGAACCGAAAAAGUUUCUUUUUCAUAUAAAGCCUAUUUUCAAGACUUUUCGUUAGAAACUUUUCUUCCAAUGUAUCCCACAGCUUCUUCGCUGAUGUCUCCCUCAUGACGGAGUACUUCUGCUCUUUGGCCAAACAUAGGCGGAUUGUACCACACGCCUGUCUAUUGAUCUUGGCCCACUCCUUGUCAUCCAUCUUGUCAGGUUUUUCUUCAAGGGCUAUAUCCAGCUCUUGCUGACAUAAGACAUCCAGGAUCUCACACUGCCACAUACCAAAAUUAUUGGUACCGUCAAAUUUCUCUACUUCAAAUUUUGCAUUUGUCACAGUAGUCCUUGCUGAUGACGAUGCUGCUGCCAUUUUUCUCCUCAGUCCCAGCUACUGUAUACGUGAAUAGUAUCGUAUACGUGAAUAGUACUAUAUACGUGAAUAGUGCCGUAUACGUGAAUAGUACCGUAACGGUCGUAUUCCCCAAGUACGAACCUGGCUCUGGUACCAAUUGUUGCGCGGAAGCGUGUGAAAGAGUAAAAUUAUUGUACUGAAAAAUCACACUAAGUUCAAUUCCCAGGAAAGAGAGGUGGAUCACGAGGAUCGCUUACAUACCAGAUCUUUCCUAGCCAGAAUAUCCCUCUAUCGUAAUUUAAUAGCACAAUAAAUCACUACAAUGACACUUGCAAAAUAUGCAGAACAAAAAUAAAGAACACUAGAAUUUUAACGAGGUUCAGCAAAUUUUGCCUACGUCCUCGGGCACUACCAAAUAUAUUUCACUCCAAAAAAUACAAGUGAAAGUUUACAAAUAGGGAGAGAGAACAAUUGCCUUAAGUAGAGAAUGGCAAGUGUGGGAUGAAGAAAGUAAGAAAUGGUUAGGCCUAUUUAUAGUUGAGGUUCAAGGAUCAACUUGCAAUGUCCCUAUACAAUUAGGGACCAAAAUUGCAAUUAUCCCAUGCCAACUUUUAACCCAACUUGCCAACCAAUUUUACUUUCUACUUUCGGUGCCCACCCUUUUUGACUUUUCAAACAAUGGGUGGGUUCCAAUAGUAAUAUCCUUUGAAGUUUGUUCUAAGAACAUUAGAAUGCUAAUCAUUAGAGUUUCAACUUAAGAUUAAACACAAAAAAUAUUGAAAAGUUUCAAGUACUAGGUGUAUUUUGAAAGAGUUGCUCCUAGGGCAUUUUCUCACCAUUCUUUUUCUUCCAUGGAUUCAAAUGCCUGUAAAAGAAAACCAAGGAAUAAAAAAUCAUAUCUACAACUCCAACAGAAGAGGGGAAUACCGGAAGAACAACCUCUACUUACCCUAUCAUAAACACUGGUAACAUCACUGUUGAAGCCUUUCAUAGCAGGGAAUCUUCAUAUAAAGAAUGAUUGAAGACCCACUGUGACACAUUUAGCUUUGAAGCUUCAGAUAGCUAGCCUGUCAAAAUGAUCAAAUAACAUAUCACAACUACCAUACUUGUGGUCUGAGCUUGAGAAAAUAAGGGAUGCUCUGAAAAAUUGGUGAUGAUCCAUCCAUCCAUAAUCACAACGAUUGCGCUCAAGCGAUGCAUCAACAAGAGAAGUGCACACAUAAACGUACAAAAUACCGAGGAAAGCCAACCAAACAUCCUUCAAUAGUACAAUGAAAUGUCAAAUGUUUUUAACAAAAAUCCCAUUCCCAUAUACAUAGGCAUAACAAUUGCAGUUGAGCGAUUGCUCCAAGCCCAUGCCAUAUAGUACAAAGCAAAGGAUCCUUAAGGACGAGGACGAUAUAAGAGUUAACCAAACAUAUAUGCAAAAAAAGCUUAGAAAUCAGAAGCUGCCGAUGAAAACAGAACAUUCAAAUUGCUUAAUAAAUGUUCCCGAUGAAAAAUAUAUGAAUAUACGCAUAAAUUUAGUAUUGCUAUUAAAUAUCAUGAGCACUGCACAAAUUUAGCCCAAUUUAAAGGAAAUUUUUUUUUCUAAAUUUCCAUUUUAUUUGACAUAUCUAGAUUUGUAAUUUGAAACUUUGUUCUUAUUCACAUGAAUUAAAAUUUGAUCUAAUCUGAUUUUAUCAUUAAAAAUGAGCCAACAGCCUAAAUCUUAAUUCAGACGAAUAAAAGCCUAAUCAUGUGGUUUUGUGAGAAAUUAACACUAGGGUAAUCUAAAAUUAAACGCCUGAUGAUAUCUCGACUCUCUUAGCUUCUUGCUAGGGAAUUAGAUUACUCUCACACACUAACACACACAUUUCCCCUAAGGUAGCUACGCUAAUUUUCUUGAAUUCCCUUCUUAAUCACAGCUCUUAUUUCUAGUGAUUUUAUCCCUACAGAUUGAUCGACCAAUCAUGCUAAAUCGCUAAAUAAAAUACCAUGCUGGCUAUGUGAAAUGCUGCCAUCGGGGGCAUCCUUAGCGAUCAUAAUAGAACUUCUUUGCUGACUUUUUCUAAGGCCAUUAGAAAAGAAAAUAUAACAAGAGAACACAAUGUGGCUCGGGAAUAUUAUUCCUUAGAACAACAGGCAGAACCAAGAAUGAAAAUUACAUCAUAAAAUAAAAUACCUCACCACAAUAACCAUUCACAAACUUUGAGCAAGGUUCUUAACGGUCAUCGUCGGUAGACUUUGCAACUCUGGUACCAUUUGGCUUUUAACCCCCAUCAAAUUUUGUGGUUCUCAAAACUGAGUGAAUGUAGAAGGCUAAAUAAAUAACAUAUUUGGCUCCUCCACUUCUUUUUAUGAAGGUUUCCUUGAAGUGCCCUAUAAGAGUAUGAUAAUGCUAAUCAUUAGAGUUUCGGUUUAUAGAUUAGACAAAAAAUGAAAAGUUUCAAGUAGCAUUGGUAUUUUGAAAGGGUUAAUUCAAGGCCAUUUUCUCACCAAUUUUUCUACCUUGAUUCCACACAAUCCACAUGAUCAAAAAUGUAAAUUCUCAUCAAGUGAAUUGAUGCAGCUCAAAAGUAGCCUUCUAAUGAUUUCUGUUGUGUUAAUGCCUAAAUUGAGCUCUCUAAUGCCAUGCCCUAGUGUGUAGUGUAUCCUUCCUGUAUGGAUCAAUACCAUGUUCAUAGUUGUAAUAAAAUCUGUUGACACUGAUAUCCUUACUCAAUAACCACAAAGAUCUGUAAACUAUUACGUAAAGACUUGUUCUUCUAUGUGAAAAAUAUAAUGUCGGUAAUGACAAUAUAUCGCAAAGAAAAAAUAGAAAUAGAAAAAUAAAGAACACACAAAUUUUACGUGGAAACCCUUUCGGGAAAAAAAAACCAUAGGCAGAGGAGAAGAAAAUUUACUAUGUCGAAAACUUAAUUACAAGAGGAGUAGACUAUGCCUAUUUAUAGGCUUGUAAACCAUAUUCUAAUAGGAGUGAAACUCCUUAUUCAAAUAAUAUCAAAUAGAUGGAGUUUAAUAAGGUUUAGAAACCUUAUUCUAAAAUAAAAUAAAAGAAGUAUAAUUCUAUAGGGAUUUUACUUUUAUUUUAUUUUACCACAGUAUUUUAUUUAAAUAAGGAUUUGGGUCACUUAAUUCUAACAAUCUCCACCUUGACACAAAUUCUUAAUGAACAAGUUCUUCAUCGCGAACUCUCAACGAACAAGUUUCUCCACCUCUUCCAUAAAACCCCUUAAGGGUUUAUUUGCAACAAUGAACACCAACCAAGUCUAAGCAAUACUCAAACUUGGUUAUAGGAAGUGACUUAGUCAUCAUAUCUGCAGGAUUUUCAUGGGUACUAAUUUUGCUCACAACAAUAUCACCACGAGCAAUAAUAUCACAAACAAAAUGAUACCGAACAUCAAUGUGUUUUGUUCUCUCAUGAAACAUUUGAUCUUUUGUAAGGAAGAUGGCACUCUGACUGUCACAAAAUACUGUAUUGAUUUGAAGGUCUUCAUUGAGUUCACUAAAGAGUCCCUUCAACCAUAUAGCUUCUUUACAAGCCUCAGUAAUUGCCAUGUACUCAGCUUCAGUGGUAGACAAAGCGACUGUAGUUUGCAAAGUGGCUUUCCAACUGAUUGCACAACCUCCGAUUGUAAAGACAUAACUGGUGAGAGAUCUUCUUCUAUCGAGGUCCCCAGCAAAAUCAGCAUCAACAUACCCAAUGACUCCAUCUCUAGUUCUUCCAAACUGUAAGCAAACAUCGGUAGUACCUCGUAAGUAUCUUAAAACCCACUGAACUGCUUUCCAAUGUUCUUUACCAGGAUUCGCCAUGUAUCUGCUAACUGCACUAACUGCAUAUGAUAAAUUUGGACGUGAACAAACCAUGGCAUACAUGAGAGAUCCCACUGCACUAGAGUAUGGAACAUGUGACAUGUACUCAAUCUCAUCAUCUGAUUGUGGAGACAAAGCCGAUGAAAGUCUGAAAUGGGCUGCUAAAGGAGUACUAACAGGCUUAGCAUUCUGCAUAUUGAAUCUGGAAAGAACUUUCUCAAUGUACCCUUUCUGACUUAGAUACAAUUUACUUGCUUUUCUAUCCCUGAGAAUCUUCAUACCAAGUAUCUUCAUUGCUGGUCCCAAGUCUUUCAUCUCAAAUUCUUCACUUAGUUGGGCUUUGACCUUUUUUAUCUCUCAUUUAUCUUUUGCUGCUAUCAACAUGUCAUCAACAUAAAGGAGUAGAUACACAAAAGAACCAUCACUGUUUUUCUUAAAGUAAACACAACUGUCAAAGCUACUUCUUUUAAAAUCAUGAGAAGUCAUAAAGGAAUCAAACCUCUUAUACCACUGUCUUGGUGACUGUUUCAAACCGUAAAGGGUCUUUUUCAGCAAGCAAACAUAGUCCUCUUUUUCUGAAACUGUAAAACCUUCUGGUUGUUGUAUGUAAAUAUCCUCCUCAAGUUCUUCAUGCAAAAAUGCAGUUUUUACAUCUAACUGCUCAAGCUCCAAAUCAUGCAUGGCCAUAAUACCAAGCAAAGCUCGAAUCGAACUAUGCUUCACAACUGGAGAGAACACAUCUGUGAAGUCCACUCCGGGAAUUUGACUGUAACCCUUUGCAACAAGCCUUGCUUUAUAUCUGGGUUCUUCAACUCUUGGAGUCCCUUCUUUCUUUUUAAACACCCAUUUACAACAAACAACUUUUUUACCUUUAGGAAGUUUCACAAGAUCCCAUGUUUGAUUUUUGUGUAGUGAUUCCAUCUCCUCUUGCAUAGCAUACUCCACUUUUCUGAGUCUUCACAACUAACCGCCUCAGAAUAAUUAGAUGGCUCUUGAUUUGCAUCUAUAUCUUCAGCCACAUUUAAUGCAUAAGCAACUAGAUCAGCCUCGGCAUACUUCUUUGGAGGUUUAAUUUCUCUUCUAGUUCUGUUUUUGGCGAUAGAGUAUUGUGGUGAAGAAGCAACUCUAUUUUGAAUUUUUGUACUGGCUUUAGUAGUCGACUCUGUUGUAGAUUCUAGAUCAAUCUGAUGCUCCACCUACUUUUGAUUUUCUUUAUUUGAAGAGUCUUUAAGAGAUAAGUUAGGUAGCAUAGCAGUUUCAUCAAAAACAACAUCUCUGCUAAUCACAACUUUUCUAUUUUUAGGACACCAUAACUUAUACCCUUUUACACCAGCUUUAUAACCAAGAAAAACACAUUUAAUAGAUAUUGGUUCCAAUUUUCCAUUAUCAACAUGAGCAUACGCAGGACAACCAAAGAUAUUUAAAUCAGAAUAGUCAGCAGGAUUACCAGACUAACCUCUUGUGGAGUCUUUUUCUCAAUGGCAAUGGAUGGAGAUCGGUUGAUCAAAAAACAUGCAGUAGAGGCUGCUUCUGCCCAAAAUGACUUUGAUAAGUUGGCAUUUGACAACAUACAUCGAACCUUCUCCAUGAUUGUUCUGUUCAUUCGUUCUGUAACGCCGUUUUGCUGUGGAGUAUGACGAACUGUCAAGUGUCUCAUGAUCCUUUCUGACUGGCACAGUUUAUUAAAUUCAUCAGAACAAAACUCUAAGCCAUUGUCUGUGCGGAGAUAUUUUAUUUGCUUCCCCGUCUGUUUUUCAAUCAUGGUUUUCCAAGACUUAAAUGCGGAAAACACAUCGCUUUUCUGCUUCAAGAAGAACGCCCACACUUUUCUGGAAAAAUCAUCAAUAAAAGUUAGCAUAUAAUUAGCUCUACCUCUCGAAGGCACUCUGAAUGGCCCCCACAGAUCAGAAUGAAUAUACUCUAAUGUUCCUUUCGUGUUAUGGAUUCCUUUGGUGAAUCGAACUCUCUUUUGCUUCCCAAAAAUACAGUGCUCAUAGAACUUCAGUUUGCAAAUUCCUUGCCCAUUAAGAAGUCCUCUUUUGCUCAAUUCUGCCAUGCCAUUCUCACUCAUAUGCCCUAGACGCAUAUGCCAAAGUUUAGUAAUAUCAUCAUCUGACAAGGAAGAGGAUGAGACAGCUACAUCACCAGUAACAGUAGAACCCUGCAAAACAUAUAACUUAGCAGUCUUUCUCUGCCCUUUCAUCACAAUGAGGGAACCUUUGGAAAUCUUCAAAACCCCACUUUCAGCUGUGUAUUUGUACCCUUUUGAAUCAAGAGUACUCAACGAAAUUAAAUUUCUUUUUAAUUCUGGAACAUGUCGUACGUCACUGAGUGUUCUGACAACUCCAUCAAACAUCUUAACUUUGAUUGUUCCAACACCUGCAAUUCUACAUAAAGCAUUAUUUCCCAUCAACACAAUACCUUCAGACACUAUUUCGUAAGUUGCAAACAAAUCUCGAUUGGGAUUCAUGUGGAAGGUGCAACCCGAAUCAAGAAUCCACUCGUCGCUCACUUUGGAAUUGUCGACAAAAGCGACUAGAAGUUCACCAUCGCUGUAAUCUUCUACAACAUCAGCUUUACCAGAAUUUUCUAGUUGUUUUCCAUUUUGAUUUGCAGCCUCCCUUUUGAUCUUAUUCUGUAGCUUAUAGCAUUCAGAUUUAAUGUGCCCUUUCUUCUUGCAAAAGUUACAAGUUUUACCUCUGUUUGAAGACUUCAAUCUACCUUUAGAUUUACUGCGAGGAUUCCGUUCCUGUAUCCUUCCAUGAUCAUCAUCAGCAUUCCGAUCUUGCCUCCCACGAACAAUAAGACCCUCUCUCUGAGAGUCAGUUUUAACCACAAGAUGCUUCAUCUUAUCAUACGAGGUUAAAGAAUCAUAAACCUCAUCAACUGUGAGAGACUCGCGGCUAUAUAAAAUCGUAUCUCUAAAGGUUGAAUAAGACGGGGGCAACGAACAAAGUAGAAUCAGCCCUAGAUCUUCCUUAUCAUACUGAACCUCCAUGGCCUCCAAGUUUGAGAGAAUUUCUUUGAACACUGUUAAGUGUUCGUGCACAGAUGCACCUUCCUCCAAACGAUGAGCAUAAAGACGCUGCUUCAUAUGUAGCUUGCUAGUUAGAGUUUUCGACAUACAAAUCUGUUCCAACCUCUUCCAUAAUCCAGCGGCAGUCUUUUCCUUCAUCACAUCCUACAAAAUUUCGUUAGACAAAUGCAAAUGUAACUGUGUUAACGCCUUUCGAUCCUUGCGCUUCUUCUCUUCUUCCGUCAAAGUUGAAGGCAUCUUAUCUACCCCUAGUAGGGCUUCCUCUAAGUCCAUCUGUGCAAGAACUGCUUGCAUCUUUAUCUGCCACAAUGCAAAUCUAGUGUUGCGAUCCAACAGCGGAAUUUCGUACUUCAAAGACGUCAUUACCGUGAUUGAGAUGAACAACCCGGAAGCUCUGAUACCAAUUUGUGAAAAAUAUAAUGUCGGUAAUGACAAUAUAUCGCAAAGAAAAAAUAGAAAUAGAAAAAUAAAGAACACACAAAUUUUACGUGGAAACCCUUUCGGGAAAAAAAACCACGGGCAGAGGAGAAGAAAAUUCACUAUGUCGAAAACUUAAUUACAAGAGGAGUAGACUAUGCCUAUUUAUAGGCUUGUAAACCUUAUUCUAAUAGGAGUGAAACUCCUUAUUCAAAUAAUAUCAAAUAGAUGGAGUUUAAUAAGGUUUAGAAACCUUAUUCUAAAAUAAAAUAAAAGAAGUAUAAUUCUAUAGGGAUUUUACUUUUAUUUUAUUUUACCACAGUAUUUUAUUUAAAUAAGGAUUUGGGUCACUUAAUUCUAACAUUCUAGAAAUCCUUUGGGUAAUAUUUGACAUAGAUAUGUAAAACAGUUUAUAAAAUUUUGCAUGUAUUUAAAAGAUCAUAUCUUUUAUACUCGUCAAGGUGAAACUAAGAGACAUAUUUAAAAUAGUUCACUCGCACUCACUUUUAAGGGUGGAUUCUUGAGGUUUUAGCUAAAGUUAAAAAAAGCUUGAGUUCAAUUUAACAACUAGGACUCGAAGCUUGACUCAAUUUAGAUUGAGUUUCAGUUUUAAUGUAGAGCUCGAUUUUGAUAUAAAAAUUUACUUAAGUUCGUUAUAUUAGAUUCGUUUACCAAAUAAAAUGAAAAAAAAGGGGUCAAAUUCUAUUAUUAAUUCUUACACUAUGUAUAAGUCAUGGAUUUAGUUUAUGUAUUUUAAUUUGGUUAUUUUUAGUCACUAUACUUUUCAAAAUUUAAAAUUUCAAUCUUCAUCAAAUAGUAACUGUUAAAUUUAUUAAGUUAAAUUAUACUAUUUUAAAAAAUAUGUAUAAAAAUAUAUUAUCAUACUAGCUUGUUAUUUUCAUAUAAUACUCAUAAAAAAGUCACAUUAUUUUAGUUAAUGAAUUUAACUGCUAUCAUUUGAGUUAAGAUUGAAAUAUCAAAUUCGAAAAGCAUAAAGACUAAAAACAAUUAAAUUGACGAACAAAUUAAAGUACAUGAACUAAACUUACAACUUACGCGUAAUAUAAGGACUAAUAGUGAAAUUUGACCAAAAGAAAACAUGAAAACAAACAUGCAUACAUACAUACCCUAAGUGCAAGGAAGUGUCUGAGAGAUGGUUGUCAUCAUCUGAUAUUGCACUAUUAUUAUCAUCAGCCUUUGAAUUAUUUGGUGAAUGAUCAAGUCUUCUUUCCAGCAAUGGAUUCAAUUCUAGUAUAUUCGAGUUCGAGCUCCUUUUUUGUCUCAAUUCCUCAACCGUAAAACUACAUUCAAUAAUCAACAAAAUGCAAUAUUACAAACUCCAAAAUCUUAAUAUCAUAUAUAAGCUAAACUACACUGCUAAUCACCCAAUUAUUGGUAAGUUUAUUUUUUGAUUACCCAAUUAUAAAAAGUUACAAAAUUGUCAUGAUUUUGUCCUUUUUGUCAUCCGUUAUUAAAUGGCUCAUGGAAAGAUUACGUGGCAGGUUUUAAAAUUGGCACUAUAGCAAUUUUAACCCUCAACAUUUAUACAUUGUGUCAAUUUAGUCUUGACUCUAAAAAGUUUAUCUCUCAACAUUUACAUGUAGUGUAAUUUAGUGUUUUUUUUGUGUGACCUUUUAACAGCUUAAAAAGCUAAAAAAAUAAAUUUAUCAGCUAAAUUUUAUCGAAAAUAUAUUAAAUUAACACUCAAUGUCACAAAGAAAAGCAAAACUGCAAAAAAAGACUAAAUUAUAGAAUGUAUAAAUGUUGAGGGUUAAAUUUUUUAGAAUGAAGACUAAAUUGACACAGUAUAAAUAUUGAGAGUUAAAAUUACUAUUAUACCAAUUUUAAAAGCCAUCAAAUUACCUUUCUAUUAGUGAUUUAAUUGUUGGUGACAAAAAAAUUUGAACAGUUGGGUGAUUAACAAUAUAGUUUACUCUUAUAUAUAUAUAUAUAUAUACAUGUGUGUAUGUGUGUAGCAGUUGAUUAUACGUAUGACCUACGUACCUGUUUGCGUCGAUCUUCAUUCUCCAUUAUAGUCUUCUGUUCCUGAAAAUAUACAAAUAUUAAACCAGAAAUCAUUAAUAUUAAAUGUUAAUUACAAUUAUUUGAUUGCUAAACAUAUAUGAUUCCUUAUUCUCUUUCAAAAGUAAAUAUUUAUACUCUAAUUUGUAUCUAUAAUUUUAUCUUUUAAGUCGAGGUUUUUAGAUAUUCAGAUAUAUAUAGUGGGUAAUUAAGCAUUGGAUUGACAUAUAACCUUUUAUGUCAAAUGUUCGAAUCUGGACUUGAACUAAGAAUAAGUGUCGAAUAUCGAUAUAUGUUAAUAUAGAUGUGAUGAAUUUUUUAAAAUCGAGAAACAUUCCUCUUAUAUAAAUAUUCAAAUUUGUGUCAAACACGUAUAUAAAACAUAAUUACUUUAGAAAAAAUUGGAUUAAUAUAGGGGUAUAAUUUGAUGAGAAUAGUUUAUUUAAAAAAUUUACUAAAUUUGAUGAGAAUAGUUUAUAAUUAUAAUUUAUUUUUUCUAUUUGGUUUUUAAAUAAACUAUUCUCAUUAAAUUACCAAAAUAAUACAUAAAAUGCGAAUUAGUUUAUACUUUUUUAAAUAGUUUUACUUUAGGUAAAAUAUAUUUACUUUAAUAAUAAAAUAAAGGGCUUUUAUGAGUAAAAAUCAUAAAUUAAGAGCUUAUUUAACUACAAAAAUAGGUUGAGGGCUUGUUUAUUAAAUAAAAAAAUGAGUUGAAGGGGAAUAAAAAGAAAAUAAUAAAUAAGGAGGGCUUAGAAGGCAAUUAGCCAUAUUUCAAUUUUAGUGCGCCCCACACGCACACAGCAAUUAACUUUCAAAAUUUAAAAUGGUAAAUUUGCAUGUCAGGUCCUUGAAACUACAAAUAGUUACAUUUUAGUCCUUUGGCACCAUUGGUGCCGCCAAUCACUUUGGCACCUUUGGUGCCGCCAAUGUGAUUGGCCUGAUCAGGCUGUUGUCAGGUUUUUUUUUCUGUUUUUUGUUUUUUUUGGUAUAUUUUGGUAAAUAAAAAAUUUUAUAAUAUUUUGGUAAAUAAAAAAAAGUUAUAAUAUUUUGAUUAUUUUUUAUUUUUUUUAUAAUAAUUUUGUAAAAAACCCUUUAUUAUAGGUUUAUUUUUUUUUCUAUUUAUCUUAAUUUCUCUACCUUUUUACUCUGCUGUUUUUGGCAUUUCAACUCAAAAUGGAUUUUAUUUUUGCUUUGGGUUUCUUUUUUUUAAUAUAAAAAGUGGUUUUUAAUUAUUUAUAUAUUAUUAAUGUGUUUUAACAAUUUUUGUGAGUAAAUAUUGAUUUUUUUUGUGAAUUACAAUAGGAGGGCAAAGCCCUAACAACAAUACGACUAGAGCGAUUCGAAUUUAGGCCACACUUGAGACGUUGAACACAAGUAUUUCACGAUGACAUAUAACACAUGUUUUUUUAAAUUCAUGGCUAAAAUAAUAAAAAAAAACCUCUUUAUUUUAUUGUAUUCAAAUAAUAAAAAAACCAUGGUUUUAGUCGUACCGGCCUGUAGGGCUGUGCAUUAUUCGGUUAAAACCAAAUUUUUUCGGUUAACCGACCGAGUUCGGUUAAUCGGUCGGUUAACCGAAAAAUUUUGGUCGGGGGUCAGUUAAAUUUUUUUAGUUUGUUCGGUUAACGGUUAAAUAGGUUCGAAAUGGGUCGGUUAACUGAAAAAAAUUCGGGUAAACCGAAAUUUACAGGGUAGGCCUACUCCCUCCCAAUUUAAACUCAGCCCAAUAUAAACCCAACCCAAUUUUUUCUUAGGCUCACCAAAUAGGACAGCCAAAUUCAACACCCCUAGCCCAGUAGCCUUAGAACCUGCUCAUGCUGCCCAUUUCUGAUUUCUCAGUAGCCUUAGAACCUGCUCAUGCUGCCCAUUUCUGAUUUCACUUUCACUUUCACUCACACACACAGUCACACUUAAGCUGCUGCUGAAACUUAUUGGUCUACUUGUAUUCCGAUAGCUGGCAUAAUCCCAUCAAAUUAAUAUUUAGAUUGGAAUUAGUAAUUCCAAUUAAACUAUGGUUGAACUUUGCGUAACCAUAUUUAAUAUUUAAGAUGAGAAAGUCAGCAAUGGAGCUAUUGUUUAUAAUGGUAUUUGCCAAAGGCAGAAGCUGGUUUAAAAUAAAGAGCAAAUGGGUCCAAGAAUGAAAAAGAGCUGUUUGAAUGCAAAUACCUGGAAAAAUUUCCAUUUCCCCCUCUUUAAUGUUCAAAGUUCAAACAUUUCCAUGUCUUAUUCUUACAUGUAAUUUUUAGUCUUUUAACGUAAUAACUAAGUUUUCAAAUUGUCAAUUCGGGUAAUUCGGAUAAUUUUCGGUUAAUUCGGGUAAUUCGGAUAAUUUGGGUAAUUCGGGUAAUUUUAAACCAAAAAUGAACAACACAUAUUUUUCGAUUAAUUCAGUUAACCGACCUUAUUAACUGAAAAAAUUUCGGUUCGGUUAAUUUUUUUAAAAAAAAUUCGGUUCGGUUAACGGUUAAAAAUUUUGGGAGGUCGGUUAAUUCGGUUAUAACAAUUUCGGGUAGGUUAACCGGUCGGUUAACCGAAUGAACACCCCUACCGGCCGGUGCCGCCGUUCUACUGCUAUAGCGCAACAAGCAACACCCUUUUUCCAUACUAAUGAAAAUUUUGGUUUGUACCGUUCGCAUUGGCCAAAACAUGGUACACCUGCUGCUGCAUAAAUAAAGUUAAAAAAUAUAAAACUUUUAACUAUUUUCUAUUAGACUUAAAUAUUUAAUUGAAAUGUAUUGACCAAUAAAAAAAUAUCACACUAAAAAGUAAAGUUUAACAUUUAAAAAUUUUUUUGGAGCAUACUUUUUCAUUUAAAAUAUAAAAAUUAAAAUAUAAUAAAAAAACCCACUCACCUCGUUAUCAUAGAAAAAGCUUCACUCGCCCUUCAGCUUUUUUUAUUGAAAAAACCCCCUCAUCCUUCAAUUUCUUUUUUCUUCUUAAUUUUGAAUUUAUUGGAUGAUGAGUUUUUACUUGUGGGUUUAUUAAUCAAUAUAUUAUAUAAUUGAUGAAUAGUUUUAUAUUAGAAAUUUAUUUAUAGUAAUUUAUUUGAUAUUUGUAUAUUUAUUUAUAUAAAUAUAUUAAAUAUUUUAAAAAAUAUCGAUAAAUUCAAAGUGGUACAUAAAAUAGACUAGUACCAAUACAUGCCGAUUCUCAUAGAAAAGUGGUACUUACACCAAUGUGGUAAUGGCUACCUUGAAAGCAAGUAUGUGGGUGGCUAUAAUGUUUGAUGCUUUGUUUUCUUUGAAUAUUUUGCUUUGAUGUUUUUGAUUUGUGCUGAUCUUUGAGUGUAAUCAUUGGAAAAUAUAUGACAAUCUAAAUUUUUAUGAUUUGCUAUGUAUUCAUUGUGGUUGUUUUAUUAAUAAAUUUAUAUUUUGGAUUGAGAAAAAAAGGAAAGUAGAGAAAGUGAACACAAUAAUAUACGUGGUUAAGGAAUAUUCCCUACAUCCACAGGCAGAACUGAAAAUGAAAUUCAGUACUAAAAAUUGGAGAUUACAAUGAAAUUAAAGCAUAAAAAUAAAAUACCUUGCCACUAACUAUCUACAAACUUUGAAUGGAUUCAUGGUCUGAGAAAUUCCGAAAACUAAGAUGGACAUCUUUGAGAUUGGACAGAACAAUAUUUUGGAAACUCUGUUGUCUUACAUGUGUUAAAUUGAGCUCUCUAAUGCCAUGUUGUAACGUGUACUGUAUCCCUCCAUUCAUCCUGCAAGGAUCAAUAUCAUGUCUACAGUGAUGACAAAAUCUGUUGGCACUGAUAUCCUUACGCAAUAACAGAAAUCUAUCCACAAAGAUCAACAAACUAUCACGUAAAAGACUUGUUCUUCUGAAACACCAUUGGUUAAUAGUACAAUGAAAUCUCAAAUACUUUUAACUAAAAUCCCAUUCCCAUAUACCAAUUUCAUAGCAGCUGCAUAGAAACUAGAAGAUGCAGAUGAAAACAGAACAUUCAAUUUGCUGAAUAAAUGUUGCAGAGAAUUGACUAACCGCUUUACUAAAUCAAAUAAGCUGAAGCAAACCAGUUGAAGGUCUCCUCUAUUUUUCAUGUUGUUCAUGAGGACAAUCAGAUAUAUAUAAAGUCAUGAGGACAACCAGAUAUAUAUAAAGAAAAGGUAUGAAAUUGAUAAAUGUUUAAAAUGCGUUUGUUUGAGUGUGGAGAAAUCGAUGCCAGAUUUUGCUACUUCAAUUAAAUUUAAUGCCCUCGGAGAGAUGACUUUUCAUAUCAAUUCGAACAUAAGGUAUGUGGGCAAUCUUGAACCACUCUCGUCCUUUACCCCUUCUGCACCCUUCUUCUACCAACGGGCAACGCUGAAUACAUAGAUGCUCAAGCGAGAGAAGCAUAUCUUUUUCCGGAAGAGAUGUGAGCUUAGGACAUUCAUAGAUUCGCAAUUUUUGAAGAGAGGUCAGGUAUUGAAAGCCCUUGGAGCACAUGAAUUCCAAAUUCUCAAACUUUUCAAUGGAAAUAAAUGUGAGAGAAGGAGGCAGCGUCAUUCCUAUCCCUUCUUCUGGAAACGACACCACAUUUGAGCAUCCUUCACCGCUGAUGUUGAGUCGCUGAAGAGAGGUGAGUCUGUUAAAUCCCCAUUGAACAAGUGAUGUAUAAAUUUUGGGUGCGUUUGAGAUUGCAAGUGAUGUGAGGUUGGCAGGGAAACCCUCUUCAGGAAAGGAUAUGUCAGCCGAACAAUAAGACACCUUUAAUUCUCGAAGGGAGGUGAAGUUGUUGAUGCACUUGGGAAGGACUCCAAAAUUUUCACAAUUCUCAAUUGCGAAAACUCUGAGAUUUGUGGUGGGCAACCCACUUUCUUCAAAUGAAACCAGAUUUGGACACCAAGAUAAUUUAAUCUCCUGAAGAUGGCUGAGCUUGUCUAAUCCCCGCGGUAAUGAUUUAAUUUUUUCAGCACCACGAAUGCCAAUGCUUUCGAGAUCCGUGGUUUCAAAGAAGUCUUGGGCUAUGCAUUCCAACACUGGACAAUCCCAAAUAAAUAGCUGUUUAAGCAUUACGGGUAACUUGGCGUUUAAAAAUAACCUACUUAGCUUUGAACAACUUUCAAUUUCGAGAUGUUGAAGUCGAUUGCAUAUAUCGCCCCUUGAUGAUAACCAUAUUAGAGAUGGACAGCUUCUUAUUACUAAGUGCUCAAGAAGACAAGUGUUGCUACUCAUACUCUUAUUAUUAUUUUCAUUUUCAUCAACCAAAUAUUGCAAAUUCACGCAAUUCCCAAUCCUCAGCUCUUUUAAAGCAGGAGGAAAGUUACUCUCUGCCAAACAAACCAAGCCUGGACAGUUUUCAAGUUGUAUGCUUGUAAUCAAUGGGAAAGCAUGUAAGGCUUCUGGUAGUCUUUUGAGCCUUUCACAGUUCCUUAUGUUCAGAGAUUCAACACCUGGAAUCUUGUCAAGUUGCAAUCUCUCCUCCUCUGUUUCCAAAGAGACCAAUUGGGGACAAUCCGCAAUACUAAUAAAACGAUGCCCGACUAAUCUUAACCCAAUUUGCGAUAAAGAUCCCAACUCCUUCCAACCAGAGAUGUUGAAUCUUUCGGAGUUUGCAAAUCUCAACAUUAUCCUCUCUGCUGAAAUGUUAAAUUUUGAAAUAUUUGACACAGACAAAAUUUUCAAGGAGGUAACCUUCUGUACAGACAAAGAACCUUCAUCCACCAAUUCUUCACACCCUUCAACCCAUAUUUUACGCAGCAAGGGAAAACUUGAAAUUGAAACUACCAGUCUCUUACAGUUGUAGAUUUCAAGUGUCUGCAAGGAUUGAAGGAUGGUUGGCAACGUUCCCAGCAAUAGAGGACAUUUUCUGAUUGAAAGAAAACGAAGGCUGGGGAAUUUCGAUGCUUGCUCAUCAUCUUCACAUAGGUCCCACUCCUCCCAAUUCAGCAUGUUGUCAAAACGCAGAGACUCUAAUGAUGCAAAAGCAUUUGAUUGAUUUUCUCCAAACAACUCAGCACCAAUCUUGUGUACUUGAUCCAAACCACUAAUUGAAAGAUCUUUUAAC